AUACUCACCUGACAGGGGAGAUGCCAUGAUCACAAAGGUGGUUUUCCCAGGGCAAAUCUUAUACACUGCACUGUGCUGAGCCCUGUGAGUUCCCCAAAUGUGGGAAACUCGACUGUAUAAUUUGGAGGUGGGGUGGAGGUGGGACUGAGUUCCUGCUUUCU
ensembl:snRNA U1 U1 spliceosomal RNA